GUUGCUCGAAUGCGAAUGAAUCACACACCUCUCCGUGGUGAGCAGCAGGCAACGGUCUUAUGACUGGCUGAGAUGUGAAG
rnacentral:ribozyme from 1 species